GCAGAGCCCUGAGGCCAAAACCUCCUGAAGGGGAGGAAAUAUGGAGUGUCUCUGCUGCUUUGACUAGGCUGCCAGCUCUGCACUUCUUCUCCAACUGCUUCCCCACUGCCUGUGUUUGAUGCUCUGAGCCUGGCACAGCCCUGCCCACAAGAGUCAUCAAAGUUCAAUGGCAAGACAGAAGUCAGGAUAACUGAAAAUGAACUCUUCUUAGAAAGCAUGAAGAUUCCUCCACAGACCACAAGCUACAUCAAGAAGAUCCAGAAUGAACUUUGGGUGUGGUUGAUUGAACUGAAGGU
rnacentral:lncRNA from 1 species